GAGGUAGUAGCUCAGUUGGUUAGAGCGUCGGAUUGUGGCUCCGAAGGCCGGGGGUUCAAGUCCCCUCUAUCUCC
rnacentral:tRNA from 1 species